UCCAGCUUCUGAGCAGCCUGGAAGGAGUUUUUGCCGACGGCUCCCAUGCCAGCCGCUUAAAAAACCCCGACUGGCGGCACCAGGGUCCCAGUGGCAGGUUAUAAUGUGCCGGGAGGAGGUGCCGGGCACGUGCCCAUGUCCCUGCAGUGCCCUGCUGCAGUUGUGGGGCGGCAGGCUCAGCUGUGGGAGUCGCUGGGGACAUCGAGGCAGCUGAAGGCACAUGAUGACUGUAGAGCCUCAGAAACAGGGCCAGCAGUGAGAGACAGGCAGAGCCGGCAUGCCAGCAUGCUGCCAGCGCGGGCACCACCGCGCGUCCUUUCCCUGGGCACAGGCAGCUGCACUCUGUGGGCAAACCUGCCCCUGUUCCCCAGUCGUGCAAGGGGGAAGCUGGUUUCCAGGGGCUGGCUCCCAGGGCACGCUGCGGUGCUGCACAUCACUCCUUGCUGAAAGCACGGCAGACCCUUCCUGGGGGUGUGCACAGAGCUGGGGUGCUGCCCAGCGGGGCCAGCAGCAGGGCAGAGGCUCUGCAAAGGCAUAGGGGGGCAGGAGGAUCCCUGCAGCACCUCCGCUGGCUCUGGGUCCCUGUGGCUGUUCCCACACUUGGCCGGGGCUCAGGGCUGGCCCGGUCAUGGCUGUAUGGAGAUAAUCCCACACCGGCCAAGGCUGCUCCCAAGGCUUGGAGCACCACAGGGCUCUUUUCCCCACUCUUUCCUACCAAGAACUGGGGGCAACAGAUGGGGGAGCCAGGCGCAUUGCACAGGGUUUCUGCCCCGGUUCCCAGCUGGGUGCACCAGGCCGGGGGGGGGGGGGGGGGGGCCGGUGCCGGAUGCAGGGGCUCACACCGGAGAUGCGCCAUCUGCUUCUCGUCAGGCUGCUGGGAGUGCCGCGGCUGCCGGGGCCCGGCAGCGGGACACAGUUGUGAUAGAUGGUCUGUUUAUCACGUUUCAGCUCUGCUCAGGAUGUUAGCAUUCUCCUGCGAAAGACGUUAUUUGGGCUCGGCUGCUCCCUCUGUCCUCUCUCUCCUCCUUCUUCCCCCCGGAUCCUCACCCUCAGGUCCGGACGGGCUGCAGCCUGUCCAGACCCGAGGGUGAGGAUUGGGGGGGGCAUCACUCUCUCAACCCCUGGUCCUUGCCCAUGGGAAGGGCUGGGCUCAGCCCUGCCACCCUGGGAAUGGAUCUGGCUUAUGUCUGAGCUCCAGGAGCAGAGGCUGAAGCCUUCCCACAGGUGCUGGCCAGCUGCAGGCUCUGCGGGGACAGGGACGGGGAGGGGAAGGACUGUGGAGACUUUCACACGCUCCUCGUCCCCCUGGGGUGGGGAAGGGGCAGAGGGCAGGGAGGGAUGCGCUGUGCAAUAUCCAUGGCGCCAUAUCAUCCUGGGGGUGUCCUGACCCUGCUGAGCAGCAGCCCCAGGCCCUGGGGGGGCGGAGCUCCCGUACCCCUUGCCCUCUCGCCCAGCUCCACACCAGUUCUUGGAAUGGGGGUAAGUGGAUUUGGAGGCAGAACUUCCCCGUCUAUCCCUGCCCCUUUCUGUCGCUGCAGAGAUGGGGCCAGGCUGAGUUGCCAAGCCCAGGUGUGUCCUGCCAUCAUGUUGGGGCUGGGCAUGGGGAUGGGGGCACACAGCUCUGGAGGGGGGUGAACCUGUUUGCCUGCACCCCAGCUGGGCAGGCAGACACACAACCUUGCCAUAUCACGACCCACGAAUGCACGACAGCCACAGCAAGGGUGGCUGCAGGCUCCUCCAUGUCUCCCAGCCCAAGGUGCAGUGCUGCAUCUCUGGUCAAUUGGGAGUCUGAGAUGAAGCACUGUAGCUCGGGAAGGGAGGAACUGUGCACCCUGGGGACCUCUGGGAACCCCCCCACCCACUGGGACGAGUGGCACAAGGAGAGCUGACCCCCCCCCCCCCCCCGGUAUGGGGAAGGGCUCACCCCAAAGCUCCAGAUCCCUGUAAAAAGCAAUGGGGAGAGGAGGGUGGGGAGGUUUCUCAUUGCAGCAGAGGGACCCUCAUGUCUGCUCAGGACCCCUGGACCAGCUCUGGGCACCAGUGGGAGGGGUUGCACAGAAAUGUGGGAGCCUUAUGCAGCAGGGGGGACAGCAGGGAUGCGGCAGCAGCACCUCCCAUCAGCCACACGUGGAGCCUGGCCGGCAGCAAGGACGCACGGGGCUGGCAGAGAGCCCAGGUCGCCGUGCCCUCAGGGUCCAGUUUUCCCAGGAAUCCCUUAGGCACUAUGUUGGGGAUUCCUGGAAAUACUGUUCUUGGGGCCACGGCUUGGCAGCUGGAGAUGGCCUGUCCUGCAGGGAGCCACAGCCUGCAGAUGAGCCAGUGACCAAGGUAUGGGAUCACUUGGGGGAGGCUGCUUGGGGGGGGGCUGUGAGAGGGAGGGAGGGCCCCUGGCUACCCCGAAGGUAGGGCGGUGAGCCCCAGCUGGCCCAUGCUGUGGGACCUCGUGGACCACUCCUGCCUUGUGCAUGCCAUCUAGCCACCCUGGGGUCAAUAAAGGUCUCAACUCUGA